ensembl:lncRNA
UGAAAGUCGACCAAUAUGAACAUUUAUUUCUGGAAAGAAGUUACAAAUCGUUUCCAAAGAGUUCCUACUCAGAUUAUAAGAUAUGUUAAUCUGAUUUUACUUUCUUUUUCAGAUACAGUCGUUGUAGCAAGGUAUGUUUUCUUCUUUUUUUAAAAUCCUCUAUUCUGUUUUCCUACUGACAGACUGAAGACUGGUGGACUAAAGGACGCUGCGCUAUGACUGGACUGACGGGCCUCAGAUCGGGACAGUAGGACUUCAUCGGUUACAAGUUUCUUCUUCAAACGGCGACAUGAGGAUGAGGAGGAGCAGCGAGCGGAAAAUGUGAUGUUCAUAAUAUCGGCUGCAGCGACACACAGCAGACGAGGAGGUAAAGAUGCUCGUUUCCCCUGAACAGACCUGCCUCUGACAGCGUGGAUGAAGGAAAGUGAAAGAAGACGUUCUAACCUAAAAACUGCACAUAUCUGAGCUAUAAAAGUGUUGAAAUUUGGGGGAAAGUAGAGGUUGAAAGCAGAAAAACCUCUACUUUAGGCUGAGUUUCAGGUGGAUUAGCUUUGAGCUGCAAAAUAUUGUGAGAUAUAUAUGAGAUGUAGCAGCAACCCUUUAGCUGCAAGGAUUAGCUGAUUAAUUAACUGAUGGGAAGAAAUUAAGUUAAUGCAUUUUUCAAGCAAAAAACUGGACAUAUUUCAACCCUAAAAGUGUUGAAAUUUUGGGUAAAGUUCAGCUUUUAAAGAAAAAAGUUUACUUUGCUUUGUUUAAUUAAAUCAGAGCUGAAAAAUUUUGUAAAAUGUGACGUAGCAGCAACACUUUAGCUGCAAAAAUGUGCUGAUUAAUCUAGUAGAUGAUGGGAAUAAUACAAAUUACAUUUUCAAGCAAAAAUGCUAAACAUUUGCUGGUUUCAGCUUGUCAGAUGUGAGGAUUAGCCGUUUUUCUUUGCAAAUAAUCAUCACACUAGACUUUGGAAAGGAAUUCUUAAAUGCCAUAACAUCUUUCAAGUAUUGUCCUCUUUCUGAAUAUGAUUUAGAAAUCUGACACACGGAUGUAGAGGCAAGGAAGCGGGAGAAGAUUUCCACAAAACCCAAGUGGCAUCGCAUGAAAGCUGCAGCUCAGAUGAUCUACCAAACACGUGUCGCAUUUUAAACCCUGCUGAAUGAGAAUUUGCAUACAGGAAGAUGAAGAAUUUCUGCAGACUGGAGCAAAUGGACAGUAAUCUUAAAUGAAAAUGUACCUGCUGAGCUGUAAGCCCUGUCUAAAGUCGAUGCCUUUCAACUCUCUGCCUGCUGAUUUUAAUCGAACAAAGCCUCCAUUCACGAGCCACGCUGCAGAGCUGCUGGGGUGGAGAGGAACGAAACAAGGAAACAGGACAGUCUGAAAACACCACCAUGAAAAUCUGGUCAUAAUAAAUAAUCCUACUAACUGUUACUGCAUAGCUCGGUGAGAAGCAACACCUCGGAAAAUAAAUAACUUAAAUACGCAGCUGGCAGAUGGAACUGCAUCAGUAUGUGCUCUAGCCCUUUUCACAGUUGGCUCAUGAGAAAAAAUAAAUACGACAGAAACACGGAGUUGGUCAUUGAGCUCGGCUUGCUGGGCUGCAGGAUCACUGACUGCUGAGACGUGCAACUUACGACACCCAGAGAGCUGGAAUCUGUUGGAAAACGGCACUUUUAGGGACUUUGCAGUGUCUGAAAUAAACACAGAGAUGCUAUAACUGCUCAGCUUUAGUGACAGAAAUCCUUUCAACACUGGCCGGUUGUUUUUCUAGAGUCAUUCACAGCUGAGAGGUUUGAGCUCCACUGAUAGUAGAUUAAAUUUAUCAUGUGAAAUAUGUAAACAAGCUGAGACAUAAACAAACAACAGACCUCAAGCAAGAACCUAUAAUGUGAACAGAUGCAUACAAGUGACUAUUUUUAUAAAGACGAGUGGUUCAGACUUGUCUAGUUUUAAAUAACGACAAUUUGAAUGAAUUUGCAGAUUAAAUGUGAUACAAAAAUGAGCUAAAACCAAAUAUAGAAUCAUCACAAAAGCAGUGCAGCAUUCAUACUAUGUUCUUCAUCAUUGCUGAAUGAUUUACUGUAAGGUUUUAUGAUGUUUUAUUGUUAUGUUGUAGCAAAUCUGAGCUCUAUUUCUGACAUCUAUGGUGCUAUAGAAAAUAAAUCAUGUUUAAUUUAUUUUCACAAAAAUGGCAUGUUAAAUUUGCAUACACUCAAAACACAAAAAGCAGUAUGUGUACUUCUACUACACAACUCCAGUCAGAAGCCUGUUUCAAAGGAAAACUAGCUUCUGAGUUAGCCAUAGCUAGCCUUAGCUGAACCUAAAGCUCAGAUUUCCCCAUUAGCUGCCAUUUACUUUUUGUGACUUUUAUGUUAUUCUUGUUGUGAAAUGUCUUCACACCACAAAUUUUAAUGCAUAAAACUGUAACUAAUCUGUACUUUUGCCACAAUCUCUGAAAUAAAAAGAAAGCUAAGUACACAGCUCAACUCUUAAAGCUAUAUAAAGUGAAGUUUAGAUUUUCCCUUAACUGACAAACAUUUUGGUUAUUCAGUCUGUUUUUCACAUAAAUAAGGCCGCAGCUGAAUUUUAUUAUACAACUGAAGAAAGAAAAGUAGCUAAAUGUCUGCUAACGCUAGCUAGCUUAACAGAUCUCAGCAGCUGCCAUCUCAUUUUUUGCCUCUUGUGACUUAUGUGAUUUAGUGGUUAAAUUAUCUUUAAAUCACGUAUUUUGAUCUAUUAAUUUGUAACUCAUCUGCACAUUUACUGUACUCUGCCACAGAAAAAAGGCUAAACUAUGAAAGCUACAUCAAGUGAAAGCUAGCUAUUGAGAUAGCAGCAGCUAGCCUUAGCUAAAGCUAAAGUCAACUUUAGUUUUUGGUUCUUCCUCACUUGUUAUUGGCAAAUGAAAAAAAGUCAAUUUUAAUAAACUGAUAAACAUUUUGACUAUUAAUUUAAUUUUUAUUAUUCAUAAAUAAGGCAUCAGCUCAGUCUGUUCAUAAUGGAGAAGAAAUAAAAGUAGCUAAAAGUCUGCUAACUAGUUCUGAGACAUAAAGUUCUACAACCACGUUAUUCCUUCAAGCUGUGGACUGUAAAGUAAAUUUUCUUCAACGAGCUGGUUGAAAUGGAUCAGAAAGCUGAGGAGGAAACAGUUUGCUGGUACACGAUUAUCCAAAAGCAGUGUGGUAUCUGCAUUUUUAGAUCAUGUGUGGGUUUUAUGGCAAUGGUUUUUU